GAGUCUGAGGACAUUACUGGAGGGUUCGGAUCUCGAACCUGGGGCCUUGAAGAGGCCCGCGCUUGGGGUUUUUAGGCAACAGCAGGCCUCCAAGCAGAGUCCUGGUGUCCCGGACCGAAUCACUCCCCGAGAGACGGGCAAGGAGAUGGACCGCCAGCCAGGAAUAAUGGGAACCCUUCGCUUGGCAAACGAUAGUUUCCAAACUUAAGGUUGUGGAUGAAACUUUUUGGUGCGGCUGCUGCAGGAGCCCCAGCCCCGGGGUGCUGCUGACCCGAGGCAAGGGAGCCGGCGCACUCACGCUUAGCCGCUAAGGAGUCUGCGGUGUCGGCGAAAGCUCCGGACAUGAUUUUGGAAGGUCGUAGGUUAAGGGGUGUAGACUUUGGGUUCCCCUGUGUUGUUAUGCCCCUUUGAUGGGGGUGAGGUGGUGAGGGGGAGCAAUAGGGUGGAGACAGGCAAUAGUUUCAGUCAACAGGAAGUGGGUUGUUGGUCAUUCCGUCGCCUUUGUAGCCAGUAACAAAGCACGAGACUGAAAUGGGCCCCUCCUAUCCUCUGCUGAUCCUUAGCUUCCGGGAUUUCUGAAAAACAUCUUUUUUUUUCCUCUUACACUGAAGUUUCUGAUUGCUCCUUACGGCUGUCCACUCAAUUAUAGAGCCAUAAUUUUCAGUUUUCCAGAUUCACAGUGCCUGCCGUCAGUUGCUGCAAGCUGCAUAGUGGUCCUCUAAUGAUCUUUAUGUCUAUGCUCAUGCCAGGGUAAUCUUAGCCUUUUAUUGUGCCGAAGACCCCUUUGGCAAUCUGGUGAGGCCUAUUUCUCAAGCAGUGUUUUAAAAUGCAUACAAUGAAAUAGAUAGGAUUACCCAGGAAAUAAAUUAUGUUUAAAUGCAGUUAUCAAAAAUACUAAAGGCAAUUUUGUUAUAUAGCAGGAGCUUUACGUGUGUGUGUAUAGUUACAGGUGUACUUCUUUUGCAUUAAAUAACAGGAGCUAGGGCCAAGGCUAAUAAACUACCAUAACUUCAAAAUAGUGAAGAAUAUAAUUAUUUGGAGAUAGCGGUGAAAACUGCACUACGAUGAACUGAUUUUUAUUGGUGACAUAACAGCAUAACUACCCUGGUUUUUGCCUACAUUCAUACUUGAUGUGAAAAAAAUUAAGAGAUACGGGGUUUCUCCAUGUUGAUGUCAGACUGGUCUCGAACUCCCGACCUCAGGUGAUCCACCCGCCUCGGCCCCCCAAAGUGCUGGCAUUACAAGCGUGAAUCACUGCGCCCGGCCUAUCAUAAAUUUUAAAAAUUAUAAAGGAUGUAAUUUCUGGCAUAGUAUAAAUAUCGUCAUUAUUUAAUGAAACUUUCACGUUUCUCAUGUAAAUAUACCCAGUUGAGUGUAACUCUGAUAGCUACCAUCAACUAUUUAUAAAAUAUCUGAACACUUAAAAGCAGACAUUUUAUAUCACUAUUUCUUCUGGAAACUUUAUUUCCAUUCUAUAUGGAAUUUUUUCUCAUUGUAAUUUGCAUUUAUAAUGGAAAGGCAUAUUGAUAAUGUAUCAUCAUCUGCAAUAAAAAUAUAUUAAUUUUAAAAAUUUUCCUGGAAGAAAAAUGUUAAACUUAUUCUUUUGGGUUAUCUUUCAGUUAUUACAAAGUUGAUUACAACAACAUGAGUAAGUCUUAAGCUUUGAUUAAAAAUUACAGGACAAAAAAAUUUUUAUUGAAAAUAGAGCUCUUAAAAAGAUGCUUGGUAUAAAUAAGUCAUGCUUCUGUUAAUGACAGGACUAGUUAAAAGGAUAAGAUUUGUAUGUCUGUGUCUCUUGUAAAAUUGAAUCAUCAAUUCUUAAGAAGCGAAACCAGGAUAUAUAAGUAUUACAUAAUAUGCCCAGAAAGUAAUGUGAACAAAAUUCAGACGUACGUUGAAGCUCCCAUUUUAAGAAUCACUCAUAUGACAAAUGUCAUCUUUUGCUCUAUAACCUUUGCUUAAAUUGUAGAAAAGAUGGAUUUAAUGAGACAAAUGAAAAGUGGUUUAACAUAACACACAGCAGAGCAUAUGCUGUUAUGCUUUGGUGUUUGUUCCCUAGCCCUUGUUCCUCAUAAUAGAUUGUGGAAUGUUUCAAAAAUGCUGUAACUUUUUUUUGCUAAUUGUGGUCUUAACAAAAAUUGUUCUUGAUUUUAAAAAAAGAUGGAUAGGAUUGGUUAUUGAACUUUGAUAUUAAAUAAAGUUUUAGUGAUA
rnacentral:lncRNA from 1 species